rnacentral:rRNA from 1 species
GACGAACGCUGGCGGCGUGCUUAACACAUGCAAGUCGAACGCUGAAGACCUGGCUUUUGUUGGGUUGGAUGAGUGGCGAACGGGUGAGUAACACGUGAGUAACCUGCCCUCUUCUUUGGGAUAACGCCCGGAAACGGGUGCUAAUACUGGAUAUUCACUGGCCUUCGCAUGGGGGUUGGUGGAAAGGUUUGUUCUGGUGGGGGAUGGGCUCGCGGCCUAUCAGCUUGUUGGUGGGGUGAUGGCCUACCAAGGCUUUGACGGGUAGCCGGCCUGAGAGGGUGACCGGUCACAUUGGGACUGAGAUACGGCCCAGACUCCUACGGGAGGCAGCAGUGGGGAAUAGUGCACAAUGGGCGAAAGCCUGAUGCAGCGACGCCGCGUGAGGGAUGGAGGCCUUCGGGUUGGAAACCUCUUUCGCUCAUGGUCAAGCCGCAACUGUGGGUUGUGGUGAGGGUAGUGGGUAAAGAAGCGCCGGCUAACUACGUG